AACGAACGCUGGCGGCAUGCCUAAUACAUGCAAGUCGAACGAUCUCUUCGGAGAUAGUGGCGCACGGGUGCGUAACGCGUGGGAAUCUGCCCUUGGGUUCGGAGUAACUUCGGGAAACUGAAGCUAAUACCGGAUGAUGACGUAAGUCCAAAGAUUUAUCGCCCAGGGAUGAGCCCGCGUAGGAUUAGCUAGUUGGUGGGGUAAAGGCCUACCAAGGCGACGAUCCUUAGCUGGUCUGAGAGGAUGAUCAGCCACACUGGGACUGAGACACGGCCCAGACUCCUACGGGAGGCAUCAGUAAGGAAUAUUGGACAAUGGGCGCAAGCCUGAUCCAGCAAUGCCGCGUGAGUGAUGAAGGCCUUAGGGUUGUAAAGCUCUUUUACCCGAGAUGAUAAUGACAGUAUCGGGAGAAUAAGCCCCGGCUAACUCCGUGCCAGCCGCCGCGGUAAAAC
rnacentral:rRNA from 1 species